GACGUAGGGCGCGAGCGUUGUCCGGAUUUAUUGGGCGUAAAGAGCUCGUAGGCGGCUUGUCGCGUCGACUGUGAAAUCCCUCAGCUUAACUGGGGAACUGCGUCUGAUACUGGAUGGCUUGGAUCCGGGAGAGGGAUGCGGAAUUCCAGGUGUAGCGGUGAAAUGCGUAGAUAUCUGGAGGAAUACCGGUGGCGAAGGCGGCAUCCUGGACCGACAUUGACGCUGAACGGCGAAAAGCUAGGG
rnacentral:rRNA from 1 species